AUCUGUCGGACGCAGGGGCGCUCAGGACCCUGAUGGGAGACGUCACGCUUCGAGAAUGACGUUUUCGGUUCAGGUUCGAAGGAGACACCUUUCGUUGUAAUGGAAAUCCCAUCCUAAGCACGAAAAACAGCUGUGCGACUCUGACUCCUCUGCAGCCUGUGCCUCUGGACCUGCGCCCCAGCUCUCGGCCAUGGCGGCGCUCCAGGAGCACGGGCCCUUCGGUCGGGCGUCCCGAGAGCUGCCCGCCAGAGGAGGAGGCAGCUGCCCGUGCUCUGAGAGCCGCACACCGCUGGAGAGCUCACAGGCGCCGUGAGCAGGAGUGAGACCGGCUUCAGACCUGGGCUUCCUGACUCCUGCCCUGUUGGGACGCUGACAGGUCAGCGGACCUCUGGGGACUCCCGCGGGCUGGACGCUCGCUCUUCAGAUCCUGAGCUCCGAGACGGACAGUCGGAGGGAUCAGCAGACUUCACACCGGCUCCAGCUUAAUUGGACUCGCUGGCUCCGAGCAGAGAAGCCAUGGAAGUCUUCUUCAUGAAAGUGCUCUGGACUUCGCGCCGCGAGCUCCGCAGCCCAGCGGGGCUUGCAGGCAGGCCAGGGGAUGCCCCGUCUCCAGACCCGGUCCAAUCGGACCGGGACCGGACGCGACGACGCAGCACUUUCAGGGGAAGCCACCUCCAGCAGGAGAGCACGCAGGUCAGCGGAGUGGACAUACAGUGCAGUGCGUUGGUCAUGAACAACCUUCACCUUUUACAACCUUAAAGAGAGACGAACACUCCAGCCGAAGGCCGAGAAAGGGAGAAGUGCCAUUUUUAAGCGUUCGUUUUAUCUGUAUUGUUUCUUGCCCAUGGGAAAAUGAGCACCAUCCAGCUGGGCACCACCAGUAAGCAGGCAGGAAGCUGCUGUUAGGUGACUAGACGAGAGCAUGCAUGUGGCAAGUAUCGUUGCAGGCAAACACGUAGGUUGACUUAGCCGUUAUUGAAGUCAGGGGGUUGUUGUUUGGAUCUGUAAAGGGAGGGGGGUAACGCAGAGGGCUGCGUCAGCCCCUGGGUUCUCCUGCAGGCCGCUGGUGCUGUGGGCCCUGGGCCUGGGGAGCACAGGAGACAAUAUGGGGGAGAGGACACCACGCUGCACCUCCGACUCGUUUGCCUGACGCCACAUCAAGCUUUUAAGACAAAACCUCAGAAGGCUUUUCAAAGCCAGUUGGGUACUUGGCAGUGGUUAUUCUGUCUUUCCAUUUCCCCUUCAAGGAGUCAGUGUUAUCUGCAACAGAAGGACCAGCUUCCUGGUCUACGUGUAAAAAAAAAAAAAAAAUGCAAUAUAUUUUCUGAAGUACUGUUGUUCUUAAAGUAAGGCAUUGCCAAGAAAUAACUGCAGGUCUCAGUGUUCGUGGAUGACCUAAGGUCAGCCCUAACAAAGACGGAGAGUGAGAGAGAAAUAUAUGGAAAAGUCUAUCGGCCCUUUUCAGCCCAUCGCAGACACUCCUUUCAUCUUGCGUCUGAAGAUCGCUCCCAGUGUGAAAACAUGUACCAAGAGGCCGCAAAAUACACGUCCAUCACUGCUAAGAGGAAUCCAGGCAGCACAUGAAGGAGAUUGUUUUUUGCUCAUCCGGAGUAACCUGUGUCUGAUCUGAGCAGCGCAGACUCCAGUUUUUGAUCUCGGAGGCAGGAGAGGUUAUACACUGAGCGGAAAGUUUAUCAAAAAGACACAUAGCAAAACACAGAGCCCUCACCCAGCCCCCUCCCUCUCCUCCCCUCACUUCAGUCAUCAAAAUCCUUUAGCGGAUUAUUUAUUCCCUGGUUUGAAAUUCUGCCAGGGUUGUUUUUUUGUCUGGCUCGCCCCCCGCCCCCCUCCCUCCUCCCCAGACCCCUGCUCCAGCUGUUUCGUUUUAUAGUCUCCUAAUCAGUACACAAACACAUUCCCAUCCCUGGCUUUGGAGAGCAGCCUCACAGCCUUCCGCGCGCACAGAGAGGCAGUCUGGCCCAGCAUGAGGCUCGCAGUCAAUUUUCCCGGCCCAGUACUGUCAAGUUAGAGAUCGCGUCUCCCGCCGGCUUCUGAGAGAUAUCAGCCCUUUUCCGAUUUCCUCCGGCGCGCACCGGACCCUCUCCUUCAGCUCGUCUGCGCGGGAGCUGCCGGAGAAGCUGGGAGAGAAAAGUCCAGUCCAAGCGCGCAGCCAGCUCUCUCAAAACUCAGACACCUUUAAAGCGUUCAGUUUCGUCCUGCUUAUGUUCAGCUCUACACAGAAAGCAUGGCAGAACACAGAGGGGGUAUAUGGCAGUGGACAGCGUGUAGGGUGGGUGCUGCAGUUUUAAACCUGGACUGACCUCCAUCUCGACCAUUGUAAUUUCUACUCUGUACAGCUGUGUGUUCCAGGCUCCCUGACAGCCAGGCAUCUGAGGUCUCCAACAGAUGACCUUUUGAGCAUGCUCUGAACUUUUACUUACAAUUUCAGUAGGGAGGGGUACCAGAGAGCUUUCAUUUUUCUUCUUCCCUGGCCAAUUCUAGCAAACACCAGCAAUGCCUCUUUUAAAUCUCAUUUGUAAACAUACUCACUGGAGAUAGCUUAUCUGUAACGGAUUAUACUGAUGGAUGCAGAGUUGCUGCUGUGAUUUUUCUGUAUGUUAAACAGCAGUGGGACGCUCCGAUUGAAGAGCACUGCACAAGAUUAAGUGCAUUGUUUUACGGCAUCCUCUGUUACAUCGCCAUAUAAAUGCAAAUAGUUUGUUAAUGGGUACUAAAACGAAUGACUAACAUCAUGCUCUUGGAAUAGAGUUCUCUGAAGCCCGCAGUCAGAGCUGUUUAAUUGCUGGACGUGCCUGCUGUGGUUGUGCUGACCCAUGCAGGGCUGGUGUCAGGACAUGGGAUUUGGGUGUGGGCCCCACGUUCAUCCCUGAAGGCAGUGUGCCAAGGAUCAUUGUGACGUGCAUUUCGGUCCUGACCGACAGCCAGCUGUGCUCUGCUGACUGUGAAGAGGUAGUGUGUCUCUCUUGCUGUGGGGGUCACCAGUAUGCCUCCCCACACACAGUAAUAAUGUGCUGUCACCUUGUUAUAAACCCCAGGAAGCCUGUACAUUAAGAGGCAGAAAUGUAUGUGAGUGCAGGAAAACUUUAAUUGGAAAGGUUUUAUUACUGUAUGCAGUAGUCUAGUUAUAGACUACCAAAUUUUAUACUGCUGGUAAAUCUCAGAUUUUACUGUAGUUUUGCUCAAGUGGAACAUGACAGUUUUAUGCACAUAUUUGCAUAUGUGUGUUUGUGAGUGUGCAUAUAUAAAUCAGCGUGUGCAGGGUUUUUAACUCAGAAAAGCCUCUUGCAAAACUAUGUUUGCAGACAUGAGCUGCUCACUUUUGAAUAUUCCUAUGAAGCAGCUAGAAAAUAACAGCAUGCACGACAUCAUUAAGUAGCAAUACUCCAAAAUAUAGUGCUUGCCCCCAUCCUUAUCGUACCUCAGCGUAGUGCUCUAGCCAUUAACAGUAUCUGUCUGCCAGGAAGCAGAUGAAAUGCAGAUGCUGUAAGCUAGGUUGUCUAUUUAAACUUCUCUGAAUUAAAAAAAACACAACAUCAAUAUGCUAAGCUUGUACAGUUUAUAUGAAAACAGGCACUGAAGUCGUGUCUGCUGUAUAAAUAUUUUGUUAACAUUAAUAGAAUUGAUUUUUAUGGGCUUGGCUGGAAGGGAGCUCAGAUUAACCACAGCAGAGGCCUGAUUCCAAAGUUAAUGAGGCUGCAAAUAAGCCUGACAUCCCUGGAAACAUCCCUUUAUCUUGCCAGGGAAUUAGCUGCUGGCUUUGAUUUUCCGGGGGGAGCUCAAGGCAGCCCUGCAGAAGCACCUUUGCAUGUCAAAGGGCAGGGAGGGGGAAUUGAAGUAAUUGGCAGUUCUCUGCAGCCCUGCCUCACGGCGCACAGCGCAAGAAGAGGGCAUUUAUCCCCCUGGCUCCACCACGUGCCUGCUCCUUCACUGGGGGGGAGAGGUGGGGUGCAGGUGUGCUGAGCUACGGCACUGCAGACCGCUGUGAAGAUCUUGCAGGCGGAACAGCUAUGCAUUCCCACAGCUGCCCCUUUACGUCUGCUGUGGUCCAUGGGAGCUGCUGGGGAAGCCGUUCCUGGGAUGCGCCGCUGUGUGGUGCCUGCAGCCUAAAGCACACCGCUGCCAGGGAGGGGGGACGGGCCCAGAGCACCUGCCUGGGGGUUCGUCACGGAGUCAGGUUGAGUCAAAGUCAGCUUUACGGCCACACCAACCCUUCGGGUUGUGAGGAAUUUAGUUCGUGGUGAGCUCGAAAUAACAGAGAUACCAAAAAAAAAGACAGAUGUAGGAACAGAAGUAAUAUCGUAAAUGUGUCCAUGUGCAUCCCGAACUUCCACUAGUGUCCACCUGCCCUCGAUCCUCCACCCCCUCUCCUAACUCCCGUGGGGGGAUUCACUGUGUAUCCUGGGAUACCAGAAAGGCUGGCGUCCUCCGAGAUCACAGAACAAAGACCCCAUCCCUUUAAAUGAAGACUCUUGAACACAGGGCAAGCCAGUUCACCGCCUGCGUUGGGCCUGAAUGAACGGACGAACGAGUGAGCAUGAGUGUACAGAGCACGUGGAUGAAGCGGAUGGGAAACAACUGUGUCUGCUGAAGCGAGACACACGUUUUUCUGUGGAUUCUGUGUCCUUGUGUGUUUCAGGAUAUUUUGCAGAAGCACUACUUAGUGCAAUACUUGAAAAAAAUAAAAUGAUGGUGCUUUCAAGUCAGCCCAUCUCUCCUGAGUCUGUUCUGAAACAGCAAUAUGGUCAUCUGUCAGACCUUAAUCUGCCAGCCUAAA